ACGUCAAGUCAUCAUGGCCCUUAUGUCCAGGGCGACACACGUGCUACAAUGGCCGGCACAGCGGGAAGCGAGGGGGCGACCUUGAGCGGAUCCCUCAAAGCCGGUCUCAGUUCGGAUUGCAGUCUGCAACUCGACUGCAUGAAGUUGGAAUCGCUAGUAAUCGUGGAUCAGCCAAGCCGCGGUCGAAUACGUUCCCGGGCCCUU
rnacentral:rRNA from 1 species